AGGGUGUGCUCAGAGCAGGGGGCCUAAAGAACUGCUCCUCUGUUUACAUCACACCUGACAGGAAUCUGGGGUCUUUGUGAAGAGGGAAACGGCACGGUGUUCUCCCUGUGAGCAGAUGCCCUACACGG
ensembl:snoRNA